rnacentral:rRNA from 1 species
AGAGUUUGAUCCUGGCUCAGGACGAACGCUGGCGGCGUGCCUAACACAUGCAAGUCGAACGGAACCUAGAUGUUAGACUGUAGAUGUUAGAAAUUAGAACAAGGACAUGGUUGGAACUUUAAGAUUGAGCCUAAGGCUUGAGGGACCAUUGUCUUAGAUUUAAAAUCUAAAAUCUAAUGUCUAGAGUCUAACAUCUAGGCUUAGUGGCGGACGGGCGAGUAACGCGUGAGCAACCUGCCCUUAAGAGGGGGACAACGACUGGAAACGGUCGCUAAUACCGCAUGACAUAUCGGGAUGGCAUCAUCUUGAUAUCAAAGGAGAAAUCCGCUUAAGGAUGGGCUCGCGUCCGAUUAGCUAGUUGGUGGGGUAACGGCCCACCAAGGCGACGAUCGGUAGCCGAACUGAGAGGUUGAUCGGCCGCAUUGGGACUGAGACACGGCCCAGACUCCUACGGGAGGCAGCAGUGGGGGAUAUUGCACAGUGGAGGAAACUCUGAUGCAGCAACGCCGCGUGAGGGAAGAAGGUCUUCGGAUUGUAAACCUUAGUAGUCAGGGACGAAAAAAAAUGACGGUACCUGAAGAGUAAGCUCCGGCUAACUACGUGCCAGCAGCCGCGGUAAUACGUAGGGAGCGAGCGUUGUCCGGAUUUACUGGGUGUAAAGGGUGCGUAGGCGGGACUGCAAGUCAGGCGUGAAAUACCGGGGCUUAACUCCGGGGCUGCGCUUGAAACUGCGGUUCUUGAGUGAAGUAGAGGCAGGCGGAAUUCCUAGUGUAGCGGUGAAAUGCGUAGAUAUUAGGAGGAACACCAGUGGCGAAGGCGGCCUGCUGGGCUUUAACUGACGCUGAGGCACGAAAGCAUGGGGAGCAAACAGGAUUAGAUACCCUGGUAGUCCAUGCCGUAACGAUGAUUGCUAGGUGUGGGGGACUGACCCCUUCCGUGCCGGAGUUAACACAAUAAGCAAUCCACCUGGGGAGUACGACCGCAAGGUUGAAACUCAAAUGAAUUGAC